AUUGAACGCUGGCGGAAUGCUUUACACAUGCAAGUCGAACGGGCAGGCACGGGGCAACCUGGUGGCGAGUGGCGAACGGGUGAGUAAUACAUCGGAACGUGCCCAAUCGUGGGGGAUAACGUAGCGAAAGUUACGCUAAUACCGCAUACGAUCUACGGAUGAAAGCGGGGGAUCGCAAGACCUCGCGCGAAUGGAGCGGCCGAUGUCAGAUUAGGUAGUUGGUGGGGUAAAGGCUCACCAAGCCGACGAUCUGUAGCUGGUCUGAGAGGACGACCAGCCACACUGGGACUGAGACACGGCCCAGACUCCUACGGGAGGCAGCAGUGGGGAAUUUUGGACAAUGGGCGCAAGCCUGAUCCAGCCAUUCCGCGUGCAGGAUGAAGGCCUUCGGGUUGUAAACUGCUUUUGUACGGAACGAAACGGUUCUCUCUAAUACAGGGGCUAAUGACGGUACCGUAAGAAUAAGCACCGGCUAACUACGUG
rnacentral:rRNA from 1 species